UUAUGGCCAUAUCACGUUGAAACACCGGUUCUCGUACGAUCAUCGAUGUUAAGCAACGUCGAGCCAGGGAUCUAAAUGGGUGACCCCUUGGAAAUACCAGUUGCUGUAAG